AAUGGCUGGUGCUCCAGACCCCUCACCUGGAGUUCCAGGAGGGAGAAACCAUCGUGCUGAGGUGCCACAGCUGGAAGGACAAGCCUCUGGUCAAGGUCACAUUCUUCCAGAAUGGAAAAUCCCAGAAAUUCUCCCAUUUGGAUCCCAACUUCUCCAUCCCACAAGCAAACCACAGUCACAGUGGUGAUUACCACUGCACAGGAAACAUAGGCUACACGCUGUUCUCAUCCAAGCCUGUGACCAUCACUGUCCAAGCCAAUUCCACUGAUCCUGUGAAGGCUGCCCAAUUUGAGCCACCUGGACGUCAAAUGAUUGCCAUCAGAAAGAGACAACUUGAAGAAACCAACAAUGACUAUGAAACAGCUGACGGCGGCUACAUGACUCUGAACCCCAGGGCACCUACUGACGAUGAUAAAAACAUCUACCUGACUCUUCCUCCCAACGACCAUGUCAACAGUAAUAACUAAAGAGUAACGUUAUGCCAUGUGGUCACACUCUCAGCUUGCUGAGUGGAUGACAAAAAGAGGGGAAUUGUUAAAGGAAAAUUUAAAUGGAGACUGGAAAAAUUCCUGAGCAAACAAAACCACCUGGCCCUUAGAAGUAGCUUUAACUUUGCUUAAACUACAAACACAAGCAAAACUUCAUGGGGUCAUACUACAUACAAGCAUAAGCAAA
rnacentral:sRNA from 1 species